AUACGGAGGGUGCAAGCAUUACUCGGAAUCACUGGGCGUAAAGCGCGCGCAGGCGGGCUGAUAAGUUGGAUGUGAAAGCCUACGGCUCAACCGUAGAACUGCAUCCAAAACUGUCAGUCUAGAGUCUGGGAGGGGAAGAUGGAAUUAGUUGUGUAGGGGUAAAAUCCGUAGAGAUAACUAGGAAUACCAAAAGCGAAGGCGAUCUUCUGGAACAGUACUGACGCUGAGGCGCGAAAGCGUGGGGAGCAAACAGGAUUAGAAACCCUAGUAGUCC
rnacentral:rRNA from 1 species